CAAACAUUUACAAGCAGUUAUUUGGGUAUUUCCAUCUGUAAAGCAUACAUAUUUAACACAGGAGGCCAAGCUUUCAAUAUCGAGGCAGCCAGCACACACCAAUUGUGGGAUGUUAAAGGAAUCAUUUUUAUUUCAUAAAAAAUAGGACUGAGCCAGAGAGAAAUUCUUAGUUCAGGUCCUCUGAUUUGCGACAGCAAUCUGACAAGAAGCGACUUGCCUGAGAAAGGGUGGCAGACGGCAUGCCUGGAGAAAUAAAAGAGAAUACACACCCCAGAGUCAAGACGUGUUAGAGGCAGCUAUAUCUACACCAGUCUGGACACCUGGAUUUGGAGAUCAUCCCUCGCUCCUCUUCGCAGAACUGUUCUAGCUGGGAAAGAUUUCAUCAGGUUCUGCCUCAGAACUCCGUCUCCAUGUACUUGGCUCCGUUCAUCCUGCCCCGCAAUCUCUGCAGAUGACAAACAUCCCCACGACAUCAUGCUACCUCCACCAUGCCUCACAGUCGAGAUGGUGUUUUUAUUGUUAUUGUUGCCAAAAAGUUUUACUCUGAUUUCCUCCAUCUGACGACAAAAGCUUCUGCCAGUUUGUUGUCAGGUGUCUUUGUGCAAACUUCAUAUACCACUCCAGGUGGACCUUUUUGAGAACUGGCUUUCUUCUUUCCACCAUACAGGCCAG
ensembl:lncRNA